rnacentral:tRNA from 1 species
GCAGCUUUGGCGCAACUGGGUGCGGAUGUCUUCGAGGCGUUCGCGGGAACGUUCGUAGCCGUCGGGCUGCGCC